GAUGAAGAACGUAGCGAAAUGCGAUACUUGGUGUGAAUUGCAGAAUCCCGUGAACCAUCGAGUCUUUGAACGCAAGUUGCGCCCGAAGCCACUAGGCCGAGGGCACGCCUGCUUGGGCGUCACACGCCGUUGCCCCCCCAUCUACUCCUUCGGGAUUGCGGGGGGCGGAUGAUGGCCUCCUGUGCGCCUAGCCGCGCGGUUGGCAUAAAUACCAAGUCCUCGGCGACGCACGCCACGACAAUCGGUGGUUGCGAAACCUCGGUUGCCCGUCGUGUGCGUUCGUCGCGCAUCGAGGGCUCGAAAAAAUGCUCGGCUCCGGCUGGGCUUUCAACGCGACCCCAGGUCAGGCGGGGUUACCCGCUGAAUUUAAGCAUAUCAAUAAGCGGAGGA
rnacentral:misc_RNA from 1 species